rnacentral:rRNA from 1 species
UACGAAGGGUGCAAGCGUUACUCGGAAUUACUGGGCGUAAAGCGUGCGUAGGUGGUUUUUUAAGUCCGUUGUGAAAGCCCUGGGCUCAACCUGGGAAUGGCAGUGGAUACUGGAAAGCUAGAGUGCGGUAGGGGGUAGUGGAAUUCCCGGUGUAGCAGUGAAAUGCGUAGAGAUCGGGAGGAACACCAGUGGCGAAGGCGGCUACCUGGACCAGCACUGACACUGAGGCACGAAAGCGUGGGGAGCAAACAGG